rnacentral:lncRNA from 1 species
AUGAACUCCAAAGGAGAAAACAGAAGCCCCUUUCCGGAGCGAGGCUGCCGACAGAGCCACCAGUAUCGGGCCGGUUCCCCCGCUCCCCCCGGGGCCAGCCCCGUCUGCGGCUUCCCCGAACAAGGCGGGGGGAUGCCAAGGACCCCCCCCCUUUCUCCCUCCCUCCGGUGCCGUCAGGGCACGGAGCGCCCCGCGGGGUGCGGCCGGGGUGAGGAACACCCAGCGCUGUGCCCCACACCGGGGAGGGGCGUCGGUGGGGGCAGCCCCCGGCCGUUGAUAAGCCCCGGGCCGGCCCCGCCGCCGCACACGCCGGGGCCGGGCACCUGCAGGCAGCCGGCCGCACACCGCACCGGAGGAGGCUCCCGCGGCGCCGAGGAGAUGCGGCGGCCCCUGGCGCUGCUGGCCCCGUUGGCCCUGCUGGUCGCACUGGGGGCGGCGGGCGGCGGCCCGGGCGAGGCGGCGCAGACGGGGCGCUUCUCCACGCCGGAGCGGCACCGCUGCCAGUGGGAGCUGCGCUGGGCGGCGGGGGCCAGCGAGNNNNNNNNNNNNNNNNNNNNNNNNNNNNNNNNNNNNNNNNNNNNNNNNNNNNNNNNNUAUAGCACACCUGCGCCGCCGCCGCCGCCGGCCCUGCGCCGAGGGCGCCCCGCUCGGCCCUCGCCAAUGCGGCCCCGGCCGGGCUCCCCCCGAGGCUCAGCUGCGGCUGCUGCUGCCCAGCCCCGGCCACGACCCCGGCCCCACGCCGCCGCCCCCAGCCUCCGCCGAGCCCCCCGAGCGCCUGGUGGAGACCUACUGCGCCCAGCGGUGGCACUCGCUCUGCAGCUUCUUCGUCGGCUUCUGGCAGGGCUGAGCUGCCGCCCGCACUUGUCUGAGGCCACCUCUCCCCCUUUGGCCUUUUUUUUCCCCCCCCUCCCCUAAUAAAAUGCUGACUUUUUCGUACCACUCUCGAAGCUCGCCUCUUUUCUCCCUGGAGCCCUGCAGAGCCUGCUGGUGCUGAGGGGCACCUGCCAGCCAAACACCUGAGGAGGUGAGGGCAGCCAGAGACCAUCCUUGUAGCUUAGGACAUCAAUGUUUCCCGAAUUAAAUUGCCACCGGAACAGCUGUUCCCUCCCCACAGAACAAUUUCUGUAACAGGGUAAAGUUGCACUGAAACUGACCAACUAGAAAACUAGAUAUUUAAACCAAAAUAAAGACAGUAAGUAGUCCUAGGAAAGCUUCCUCUCUUACACAAAUUUCACAAGUUAAGUUAACCCAAUCCUGUUUCCACAGAGUAGAUGAAGGCAAAGAGCAAAUGUUAACAUGAAUGGUGAGGGUUAGGUGAGGAAACAGCUGUGAAGAGACUGAGAAGCAGAUGAGUUUCACAGAAACUGUCUUGAAAAUGAAUACUUUACCUAGCUAAUGAGCUACGGCCAAAGCAACAUUCCCACUUAGAGGGAAAUGCUGUUCUCACAUUGCUUCUGCAUUGCAGUGUUUUGAAAUAGGGAUUGCUUUGAAAUAGAUUUUGGACAGAGUGCAUCAGCAGACCAAGCAUAGAGGAGCAAUAUCCCAGCAGCAGGUGAGCACUCAUGGUCUGCUCACCCAUGAUCAAACAUCAAGUCCCUAGCAGGCACACAAACAAGCUGUGGAUGAAGCACACUGUGCAGUACCAAAAAUAAAACCCAGUCCCCUUCAAACAAUGCUCAAAGGAGCAGUCACCUCAAGAAGCACCUUCCAACCUAAAAUAUCUCCUAGGACAGUGCCUGGGUUGGAAGUAGCAGCCAGCAUUUUUUUUUUUUUUUUUUACAAGGCUAGCAGUCACUGUGACCAGCUCUUUGCCUCAGGAAAACACACUUCUGUCAAAACAAGCAUUACAGAUGAGUGUUUAGGCGCGCAUAUAUACAUAUAUAUAUGUAUAUAUUUAUAUUUGUAUGGCAGCAUUAUUUACCAUGCUGGAUUAUAGAGUUUGACUUUUUCGUACAGGGGAAAUGACAAUGUGUUGUAAAAAUUUGAUGUUCACUGACAAGUUUUCUGAGGACAAAGUUAUUCUACCUCCCAGGUGAGCACAGGAAUCUACAGACAUGAUAUGAGCUAAGACAGAAUUUUAACAAUUUUAAAUGGAACUUAACCCUGACAAGAGAAGCAGUUUCUGACUUACAGCCUUCACAACUCAGGUGCUCAAAAACUGGGAAGAUAGCACGUAACACUUACCUUGAUGUAAAUUCACAACACAAGCAUUCAAUUAAACUCGAGAUUGAUGAAAUACUACCUAAAGAUAUUUAAUAUUGGUUUUGAAAUUAUAUUUUACAGUCUACUACAGAAUAUUCAAAAAAGGUUAUUCAAGGACAGCUACUUUUUACUUGUCCUAAACAUGGCCACUUCAUGUAACAUCUAACCCAAUCUACAACUUACCUUACUUGAAGAAAGCCACAUGGAAAGGGUAGGAUGCUAAGAAAAGGACCAAAACAGAACUGCUUAAGUAGUGGCUCUGUAAGCACAUGUGUCUCAGCAGUCUGUCCUUUAGCCCUCUUACACCGUUAACCUCCAUGUUUAACAUAGCAGCAGUAUUAGUGAUGAAUUCCAAAUUUGCAGCCCCCAGAUCUGCUUCAAAAUACCAAGAGCCACAGAUCUACUUGAUUGUGGUCACAACAUGGGUGAACACUUCAGGAGAGCAGCAACCAGCACACCCUGCUCUGCAAACCAGCCCUCAGACUAUCCCCCCAGGCAUUUAGGCAUCUGUGGUCCUACACAGCCCAAAGUGCCUGCCCAUAACUGGGAUCACUUGCAGGCUAUGUGGUUUCAGGGAUGGCUGUGAGAAGGACGUAGAGAGGCAAAAAGGAUCUGCCCCAUUGCUUUCACAAUAGGACCAGGCAGUUGUACACAGCUCAUGGUGCCGAGGCAUUCUCCUUUACAGCAAGUAGCUUGAAUGCUCAGCAGGACUAUGCAAAAGGUUGACUGUCAAUGCAUGACAUGCACAAAGUUUUUUUUUUUUUGUUACAACUCACUUUUCCUUCAUGUGCAUAACACAGAAACAGCCAUAUAACAGGCUGCUUGCCAUAGCAGCACAUGGUAUCUUCCAUUAACACACAGCUUUGUUUUACCUCCAUGGCAUUGGCACAACAGUUUUGUGCAGUGCCUUUAGAGCUUGGGUUUUACACUGUCAGAUGCAAAGGUGGAACACCAUGGCAACUGAUCUGCUUAUCCACAUCACACUACUUUUACAAAAACCCAACUAGGAAUUCUGAACAAGUAACACUAGAGGGAGGAGAAAUAAGAGGAUCCCUGGCUCAGAGUUUCACAACAUUAUUCCCGCUACUCUGCAGAAGUGGAGCACAAAGUCUUUCCUGCAGCCUCAUCAAAUAAUGAAAUUGUAACAACUCAGGAGACUACAUUCAUUGCAUCUACUGUGGUUAAUAACAUCAAUGCCCAGAGUUGAAUGGCAGUCACUGAGCUUUUGUACUUUAGGUAUUAGAGACAGUAAAGGCUAGAAAACCAGUCUGAGCCUCAGAUUUGUUUUAAGGGGGAAACUGUGGCUCUUUACUUCCUAACACAGUGUUUUCAUCCUCUCCCAUGGUAAGGUGACAGUUGACACCAUCACUUAAGCCAAGGAAACACAGGAAGAAACUAUAGCCAAGAUCUUAAUCUCUAAGUGAUUCUGUUCCUUUCUAGCCCUGUAACAGCUUCAUCACAUGCUUGUCACACACAAACACACAUCCCCCAAUCUAAUUCAGACACCCAAACCUACCCAGGCUUCCACUCUGCAGCCAGCCUUACCUCUGCUUUCCCAUUGCAACUGUAGGAGUCCAUCACCAAUCAUCCAAUUCCCUGCUUGGAUGGCUCCUCCUGUCAUCUCAUCCUUCCCUCUUCAGCACUCCAUAGCCAUCCAGUACCUGCAGCAAGAAGGACCAGCCUAAUCAGGCUGCAAAGAGCAAACCCUGGCCACCUCCCCCCUACAGGCUUGAUAAACUCUCCACCCCCAGGGGCAGGUGG